rnacentral:tmRNA from 1 species
GGGGGCGAAGUAGGUUCGACGGAGGUGGCAUCGGCAGGAGCGGCGAGCCGAGGUUCCCGUGUCCUCGUAAAAUAAGCGGGACACCAAUAAGUGCCAACGAAAGAUACGCUCUAGCCGCCUAAGAGAGCGCGGCUACGCUCUGUUGUACUCUCGCCCGCGGAGACAACAGGGUGUCAACCCAGCGGGAUACGUCUGCGGGGAAGCCCGGACCCGCAGGCGGAAACCCACGGGCUAGCUCGUCGGGCGUCCUGCCCUUGGGAUUACCGGCGGGCGAAACAAGGCAACAAGGGCUACGCUCGUAGAAGCUCUUGUCGCGGCACCUUCGGACCGGGGUGCAACUCCCCGCGCCUCCAC